UACGGAGGGUGCAAGCGUUGUCCGGAAUCACUGGGCGUAAAGGGCGCGUAGGCGGCUCAUGAAGGCUGUGGUGAAAGUCCGGGGCUCAACCUCGGAUCGGCCGUGGCGACUCGUGGGCUGGAGCACUGUAGAGGCGGGUGGAAUUCCGGGUGUAGCGGUGGAAUGCGCAGAUAUCGGGAGGAACACCAAUUGCGAAGGCAGCUCGCUGGGACGUCACUGACGCUGAGACGCGAAAGCGUGGGGAGCAAACAGG
rnacentral:rRNA from 1 species